rnacentral:rRNA from 1 species
UGCAGUCGAGCGGGGGAGGUUGCUUCGGUAACUGACCUAGCGGCGGACGGGUGAGUAAUGCUUAGGAAUCUGCCUAUUAGUGGGGGACAACAUUCCGAAAGGAAUGCUAAUACCGCAUACGCCCUACGGGGGAAAGCAGGGGAUCUUCGGACCUUGCGCUAAUAGAUGAGCCUAAGUCGGAUUAGCUAGUUGGUGGGGUAAAGGCCUACCAAGGCGACGAUCUGUAGCGGGUCUGAGAGGAUGAUCCGCCACACUGGGACUGAGACACGGCCCAGACUCCUACGGGAGGCAGCAGUGGGGAAUAUUGGACAAUGGGCGGAAGCCUGAUCCAGCCAUGCCGCGUGUGUGAAGAAGGCCUUUUGGUUGUAAAGCACUUUAAGCGAGGAGGAGGCUCCUUUAGUUAAUACCUAAAGAGAGUGGACGUUACUCGCAGAAUAAGCACCGGCUAACUCUGUGCCAGCAGCCGCGGUAAUACAGAGGGUGCGAGCGUUAAUCGGAUUUACUGGGCGUAAAGCGUGCGUAGGCGGCUUUUUAAGUCGGAUGUGAAAUCCCUGAGCUUAACUUAGGAAUUGCAUUCGAUACUGGAAAGCUAGAGUAUGGGAGAGGAUGGUAGAAUUCCAGGUGUAGCGGUGAAAUGCGUAGAGAUCUGGAGGAAUACCGAUGGCGAAGGCAGCCAUCUGGCCUAAUACUGACGCUGAGGUACGAAAGCAUGGGGAGCAAACAGGAUUAGAUACCCUGGUAGUCCAUGCCGUAAACGAUGUCUACUAGCCGUUGGGGCCUUUGAGGCUUUAGUGGCGCAGCUAACGCGAUAAGUAGACCGCCUGGGGAGUACGGUCGCAAGACUAAAACUCAAAUGAAUUGACGGGGGCCCGCACAAGCGGUGGAGCAUGUGGUUUAAUUCGAUGCAACGCGAAGAACCUUACCUG